AAGCCUGAUGCAGCGACGCCGCGUGAUGGAUGGAGGCCUUCGGGUUGUGAACCUCUUUCGCCAGUGAAGCAGGCCUGCUCCUUUGUGGGUGGGUUGACGGUAGCUGGAUAAGAAGCGCCGGCUAACUACGUGCCAGCAGCCGCGGUAAUACGUAGGGCGCGAGCGUUGUCCGGAAUUAUUGGGCGUAAAGGGCUUGUAGGCGGUUGGUCGCGUCUGCCGUGAAAUUCUCUGGGUUAACUGGGGGCGUGCGGU
rnacentral:rRNA from 12 species